UGCCUCAAUUCCUAGGUCUGUUCUUAAAAA
rnacentral:piRNA from 1 species